GAUGAACGCUGGCGGCGUGCCUAAUACAUGCAAGUCGAGCGAACGGACGAGAAGCUUGCUUCUCUGAUGUUAGCGGCGGACGGGUGAGUAACACGUGGAUAACCUACCUAUAAGACUGGGAUAACUUCGGGAAACCGUAGCUAAUACCGGAUAAUAUUUUGAACCGCAUGGUUCAAAAGUGAAAGACGGUCUUGCUGUUACUUAUAGAUGGAUCCGCGCUGCAUUAGCUAGUUGGUAAGGUAACGGCUUACCAAGGCAACGAUGCAUAGCCGACCUGAGAGGGUGAUCGGCCACACUGGAACUGAGACACGGUCCAGACUCCUACGGGAGGCAGCAGUAGGGAAUCUUCCGCAAUGGGCGAAAGCCUGACGGAGCAACGCCGCGUGAGUGAUGAAGGUCUUCGGAUCGUAAAACUCUGUUAUUAGGGAAGAACAUAUGUGUAAGUAACUGUGCACAUCUUGACGGUACCGAAUCAGAAAGCCACGGCUAACUACGU
rnacentral:rRNA from 1 species